rnacentral:lncRNA from 1 species
GCCUUAAAGACAGGGCACCGUUGUUGCACCCUUCUGCUGGGUGCCACCUUGGUUUGGCUCCACAAAGGCCAAAACUGGGGAUCAGGGGGAGGAUGGGGGGAAGGGGGCUCUGUGUGGAACCCUGACUCAGAGCAUGGGCUCCGUUGGUCCUGAUGCUUUCUGUUCCCACAUUCCGGGGCUGCUGUGAGCACUGUGUGGUCCGCCCACUGCACAGCGGAGCUCAGCGAGGGGGCGAGUGGGGCCGGCAUUCCACCCACGGGUAACUCACCAAGCUGGUCACCCUGGUGCAGGGCUGGGUCUGCCCAGAGCGGGGCGUCGUGGAGGUAAUUCUCGCAAAGGCGCUGGGUAGACCAGCUAGGGAGGCCCUGUCCCUUCCCCCACAUGCUUUGCCAAUUCCCACUUCUGUGCUUGGCCCACAGAACCCCAGCCCUCCACCCCAAAUGUCCUUCCCUCUCCACACGUGCCUCCUUAGGAGCCGGUCACGGAACUGGGGACCAUGAAGGGGGAGAGCCCCCGUCCUGCUCACGGCGGUGAAAAUUAGCUGGCAGUGCACAUUGUUCUAGAUUUUUCGUUUUUCUCCACUGGAUGGCUAUCUUUCAAAAUCAGAAAAUGUCAGCGCCAGAAACUGCAUUUCAUCAAACUGCAUUCGUUUGCUGAAACUCCCAGGAGACUUGUGGCUGUUGACUUUUUCUUUUCUGCAGGAGGCAUCGAGUGAAGUUCCUUCAUUCAUUCAACAAAUAUUCGUGGUCGUCUACUGCGUGCCAGGCACCACCAGUGGGAGGUCAGUGGUGGUGAGAGAGUUGGUGGCCCUGUCCUCACCGUCCAGCAGGAAUGACAGACUGAAGUGUGAUGAGAGACAGGAAGGGGACAUCGCAGCGGAGCAGCCCCAGUUACUCUUGGACUCAGGGUCAGAGGCAGCCAGAUGACGAGGAGGAACCUGCACGAGCAAUGGCUCAGAGUCAAGCUGUCUCCUUAAUCAGAAGAAAUGUUUUCUCCAUAGUCUCUGGAACUAAUUUCCUUAAUAUGAAUCUCAGCCUUAAAGAUAUUCUCUCUCAAAGAACUCGAGGCAACUAAAGACAGUGUCUCCCUUGCAAGUCCUGGACCAGGAUGAGUGUGAGUUCUGCAGGCUCUUUCCAUUCAGAGGCAAAGACCCUCGGACCAUGUCCACUGGACUUUGGCCUGUGGGGAGCUGCUGGGGACUGUGUGCUCCAUGUCCCUUUGGGGGCUCCUUAAGGGCCCUUAAAAUGUCAUAGCCUCUGACUCCGCUUUGUUACCAUUGGGAAUCUAUCCCAAAGAAAUAAACGGAAAUACAGUAAAAAGCUUUCUGGGUAA